AGCGGCGGACGGGUGAGUAACGCGUGGGUAACCUGCCCUAUACACACGGAUAACAUACCGAAAGGUAUGCUAAUACGAGAUAAUAUAAGAGAUUCACAUGGAUUUCUUAUCAAAGCUGAGGCGGUAUAGGAUGGACCCGCGUCUGAUUAGCUAGUUGGUAAGGUAACGGCUUACCAAGGCGACGAUCAGUAGCCGACCUGAGAGGGUGAUCGGCCACAUUGGAUCUGAGACACGGUCCAAACUCCUACGGGAGGCAGCAGUGGGGAAUAUUGCACAAUGGGCGAAAGCCUGAUGCAGCAACGCCGCGUGAGUGAUGAAGGCCUUCGGGUCGUAAAACUCUGUCCUCUAGGAAGAUAAUGACGGUACUUGAGGAGGAAGCCCCGGCUAACUACGUGCCAGCAGCCGCGGUAAUACGUAGGGGGCUAGCGUUAUCCGGAUUUACUGGGCGUAAAGGGUGCGUAGGUGGUCUCUUAAGUCAGGAGUGAAAGGCUACGGCUUAACCGUAGUAAGCUCUUGAAACUGGGAGACUUGAGUGCAGGAGAGGAAAGUGGAAUUCCUAGUGUAGCGGUGAAAUGCGUAGAUAUUAGGAGGAACACCAGUAGCGAAGGCGGCUUUCUGGACUGUAACUGACACUGAGGCACGAAAGCGUGGGGAGCAAACAGGAUUAGAUACCCUGGUAGUCCACGCCGUAAACGAUGAGUACUAGGUGU
rnacentral:rRNA from 1 species